GCUGCUGCCCCACGGGCUAUCCGGCAACAAAGAUGGCCGCGGGGCAUCGCGCGUCGGAGGGCUCCACAGCGCCGGCCUCCUCCUCCCGCGGGAAACGCAUAUGAAUCGGAGCAAGCGCCGCACCGACGGACGCCGGCGAGUACGCCCUGCUCUGGAAGUUUGGCGGUGUCGCGGUCCUCCGGUAAUGGAUGGUUGACGCCCCUCCCAGUGAUUCUUAGAACAGAAAUUUGGUGCAGAUUGAAAGCUCUCAACCCGAACAGCAAACUUGCUGGUUUCUUCCAUGGGAAGUUGUACUAUGAGCCAUCUAACAUGGCGUGAACGCAUUAUUCUAAAGGGUUUAUAUAAUGAGUCAUUAUUGUCUGGGCUGCUACAAAGAGUCAGUACUCAUGUAAGUGGGUCAUGGUUUCAUACAGCCAUGUUCUAAGGAAGUAAGAUGUGGAUAACAAAAGAAAACAAGCCUCGGAUCCAAUACAUGCGCUUGAAGCCCCAAAUAUGGCGUCCUACAGCAAGAAUGAUAAAGAAGGAAAAAAGAGAAGUUUGGAUCAUUACAGGAGGCUCAGUACUCUCACUUAUUUUGACGUCCAGCAGAAAACCUGCCAAACAGGUAUAAGAAUAACCCAUUACAGUGUGAUUUACAUUUGGCUGGAAUUUUAAUGCAUUAUGAUGUAGCUACAAAGCACCAACAAUAGGCCCAACUUGAAUUCGUAAGAACUCAUUAUGUUUAUGCAUCUACAUUUCAGAAUCAUGUAUGUUGACACGUACUUUACGGAAAGAGAUGUCCAGGAUAUGAUGGUCGAGGUCGUCGUACAUUUCUGAUUGAUUGAAGAACCAGAAUAUCAUACCUUGUAUGAAGGUCGAGGUCGUCGGCUGCAGGUCGCGGUCUUCAGGGCGAUUGUCACGGCGACUUGCGUACAGGCUAGGUGGCGCGUGGGUCAGUACGGCGCAUGGCAGUCCUGGCAGCGCAUGGUUUAGGACGGCGUAUGACAGACUGGGCGGCAGGCAGGCAGGAAAGAUCGUAGCGGCCUGGAGGCGGCGGGCGAGAAUGGCGCCGACGGGCAAUCAGUCACCGGCGCUUUGGAGUAGGUGAUCGUGAGAUCAAUCGUAGUAUUGCUUUGGAGUAGGUGAUCGUGAGAGUAAUUCAGAUUCUUGCUUUUUUUUGCUGGAGCGAUUUAGAGUAGGCGAUCCUGAGAGCAACAAUACUCCACCGUUAAUUCAGCUAGUUGCUUUUUUCCUGGAGCGAUCAGUCAAUCCACCGUUAAUUUAGGUUCUUUUUUUUUCUGCUGGUGGGCGUGGAUGUUUGGCGGAAGGAAGUUUUCGUCUGCUGGGGUGCGCUCCGCCGUGGUAAUCGCUAGAUGCACAUUUAGUUUUAAUUGGCUACAUCUGUAACGUUAGUUGUACAAAGUCCAAACGAUCCGACGGUUAUGGUUAAUUCAUGUACGAUUAGCCGGGUGUACUUAAGAAAGAUCAAGUUUGCUUGUUU